rnacentral:rRNA from 1 species
GAUGAACGCUGGCGGCGUGCCUAAUACAUGCAAGUCGAGCGAAUGGAUUAAGAGCUUGCUCUUAUGAAGUUAGCGGCGGACGGGUGAGUAACACGUGGGUAACCCGCCCGUAAGACUGGGAUAACUCCGGGAAACCGGGGCUAAUACCGGAUAACAUUUUGAACCGCAUGGUUCGAAAUUGAAAGGCGGCUUCGGCUGUCACUUAUGGAUGGACCCGCGGCGCAUUAGCUAGUUGGUGAGGUAACGGCCCACCAAGGCAACGAUGCGUAGCCGACCUGAGAGGGUGAUCGGCCACACUGGGACUGAGACACUGCCCAGACUCCUACGGGAGGCAGCAGUAGGGAAUCUUCCGCAAUGGACGAAAGUCUGACGGAGCAACGCCGCGUGAGUGAUGAAGGCUUUCGGGUCGUAAAACUCUGUUGUUAGGGAAGAACAAGUGCUAGUUGAAUAAGCUGGCACCUUGACGGUACCUAACCAGAAAGCCACGGCUAACUACGUGCCAGCCGCCGCCGUAA